AGUAACGCGUGAGGAACCUGCCUCAAAGAGGGGGACAACAGUUGGAAACGACUGCUAAUACCGCAUAAGCCCACGGCUCGGCAUCGAGCAGAGGGAAAAGGAGCAAUCCGCUUUGAGAUGGCCUCGCGUCCGAUUAGCUAGUUGGUGAGGUAAUGGCCCACCAAGGCGACGAUCGGUAGCCGAACUGAGAGGUUGAACGGCCACAUUGGGACUGAGACACGGCCCAG
rnacentral:rRNA from 1 species